CCUGGUUGAUCCUGCCAGUGGUCAUAUGCUUGUCUCAAAGAUUAAGCCAUACAUGUCUAAGCAUAGCUGGUAACAGUGAAGCCGCGAAUAGCUCAUUACAACAGCCGUUGUUUCUUGGAUCUACUCUCUACUUGGAUAACUGUGGUAAUUCUAGAGCUAAUACAUGCAUCAAGACCCGACGCAAGGACGGUCGCAUUUAUUAGAACAAAACCAUCCGGUCUCCGGACCGUACUUUGGUGACUCUGAAUAACUGAGCAAAUCACAUGGUCUCGCACCGGUGAUGUAUCUUUCAAGUGUCUGCCUUAUCAACUUUCGAUGGUAGUUUAUGUGCCUACCAUGGUUGUAACGGGUAACGGAGAAUCAGGGUUUGACUCCGGAGAGGGAGCCUGAGAAACGGCCACCACUUCUAAGGAAUGCAGCAGGCGCGCAAAUUACCCAUUCUCGGUACGAGGAGGUAGUGACGAAAAAUACCAAGCCGAGGCUCAUUGAGUUUCGGCAUUGGAAUGAGAACAAUCCAAAUCUUUUAACGAGGAUCUAGUGGAGGGCAAGUCUGGUGCCAGCAGCCGCGGUAAUUCCAGCUCCGCAAGUGUAUAUCUAUUUUGCUGAGUUUAAAAAGCUCGUAGUUGGAUCUGCGUGUUCAGCAUCUGGUGCGGUCUCUGGCCGCUACUGGAAUGCGACACAUCGAAUGCCGGUUUGCCGUUGAUGCUCUUCAUCGGGUGUCAGCGGUGGCUGGUGAGUUUACUUUGAACAAAUAGAGUGCUCAACGCAGGCGUUUCGCUUGUAUAUUUCUGCAUGGAAUAAUAGAAUAGGACCUCGGUUCUAUUUUGUUGGUUUUCGGAAGUGAGGUAAUGAUUAAGAGGGACUGACGGGGGCAUUCGUACUGCGACGUGAGAGGUGAAAUUCUUGGAUCGUCGCAAGACGCACUACUGCGGAGGCAUUUGCCAAGAAUGUUUUCAUUAAUCAAGAACGAAAGUAACGGGUUCGAAGGCGAUCAGAUACCGCCCUAGUCGUUACCGUAAACAAUAUUGACUGGGAGCAUGUCGGAGUUUCCAAGAACCCGAUAUGAACCCAACGGGAAACCUCAAGUUCAAUUACUGGGGGAGUACGAUUGCAAAUUCGAAACUUAAAGGAAUUGACGGAAGGGCACCACCAGGGGUGGAGCCUGCGGCUUAAUUUGACCCAACACGGGGAAACUCACCCGGCCCGGACACCGGAAGGAUUGACAGAUUGAGAGCUCUUUCUUGAUUCGGUGGGUGGUGGUGCAUGGCCGUUCUUAGUUGGUGGAGUGAUUUGUCUGGUUAAUUCCGAUAACGAACGAGACUCUGGCCUACUAAAUAGUCGUCGGAUC
rnacentral:rRNA from 1 species